GAUGAACGCUGGCGGCGUGCCUAAUACAUGCAAGUCGAGCGAACAGACGAGGAGCUUGCUCCUCUGACGUUAGCGGCGGACGGGUGAGUAACACGUGGAUAACCUACCUAUAAGACUGGGAUAACUUCGGGAAACCGGAGCUAAUACCGGAUAAUAUAUUGAACCGCAUGGUUCAAUAGUGAAAGACGGUUUUGCUGUCACUUAUAGAUGGAUCCGCGCCGCAUUAGCUAGUUGGUAAGGUAACGGCUUACCAAGGCAACGAUGCGUAGCCGACCUGAGAGGGGGAUAGGCCACACGGGAACGGAGACACGGUCCAGACGCCUACGGGAGGCAGCAGUAGGGAAUCUUCCGCAAUGGGCGAAAGCCUGACGGAGCAACGCCGCGUGAGUGAUGAAGGUCUUCGGAUCGUAAAACUCUGUUAUUAGGGAAGAACAAAUGUGUAAGUAACUAUGCACGUCUUGACGGUACCUGAUCAGAAAGCCACGGCUAACUACGUG
rnacentral:rRNA from 1 species